UACGGGGGGAGCAAGCGUUGUUCGGAUUUACUGGGCGUAAAGGGCGCGUAGGCGGCCACCGCAAGUCGACUGUGAAAUCUCCGGGCUUAACCCAGAAAGGUCAACUGAUACUGCGGGGCUAGAGUGCAGAAGGGGCAACUGGAAUUCUCGGUGUAGCGGUGAAAUGCGUAGAUAUCGAGAGGAACACCUGCGGCGAAGGCGGGUUGCUGGGCUGACACUGACGCUGAACUGCGAAAGCUAGGGGAGCGAACGGG
rnacentral:rRNA from 1 species